UGUAAGACACAGUUUCUCUGAAUCCAAGACUCUACGCUCUGCAGCAGGCCAAAGUACCUCAUCACGUAGACAAGGAAUCAUGAGGAAAUACGGGGAAGCUCUCCUGGGGCUCCUGUGCAUCCAGGUUUGCUGGGUGAGAGGGAUGACUGUGGAGCAAAGCCCUUCAGCCCUGAGCCACCAGGAGGGAGCCAGCUUUACUCUCCAGUGCAAUUUUUCCCAAACUGUGGGCAGUGUGCAGUGGUUCCGGCAGCACCUUGGGGGCGGCGGUCUCACCAGGCUGUUUUACAUCGCUUCAGGGAUGCAGCAGAGUGGAAGGUUAAACUGCACAGUGAAUAUUAAGGAACGGUCCAGCACCCUCCACAUCAGGACCUCCCAACUGGAAGACUCAGCCACGUACCUGUGUGCAGCGGAGGCACAGUGCUCCCUGGCGAUCUGCAGCCUGCACCCAAACUGCGCUGCACCUGUAGCCCCCGCCCUUCCAUGUGGCUGGCAUUUGCCCCACAGCAGACUUUGCACAUGUUCAGACUUUCAGAUUUACCUUAGGGCAUGUUUUUCCUCCUAAAAUUAGACCCAUCAGGGCUGUCCUUUCACUUGCUUUUCUUGCCCUUCUUCUUCCCAGAAAGCCCUUUGGAGGUAAAAAUUUCUUCGAAAGAGCUACUGGAUCAAGUGACAGAAAUGCUCCUAUCUAGUGCCCUGGAAAAACAGAUCUUCUGGCAGGUAACAUAAAAUGUAUAUGUAUAUUACUCAAAUGAAAAAGGCUUGACAAAAUAAUGCUUUAAUUAUGAUUUAAUUUAUAAUUAUUAUUAGUGCUUUAACAUUUAUUGCUGUGCUAUCACUAUCUUAAAACUAAUAUUAGUUUUAUUGUUGUACCUGUAUUUUAAAAGUGAGUUCUACAAGUGGGGGAACAAGUGCUGAACAGAGAGAUAUGUAGGGUAGCAGAACACAGGCAGGAACACAUGCAGGCUCAGGUUCUGGGUCACAGCAGGCUGUGUGUGAGCUGAGCACUUGGCCGGACCACCUGUGCUGUUUGUGCCUGCUUUGGACUAGCUGUGGUUUUUACAUGCA